AAAUGUCGACAAGCACCUCAUCUCACAACAAGAAGGAUUCAGAUCGGUCAAAUCUUGCACCAGUCAAGUCCUCGCACUAACAGAACACAUUGAAGAGGGAUUUGAAGAAAAACACAGGGGCUUUAGUAGAUUUGACAGCAGCCUAUGCGACAGUAAGGCACAAAACAUUGUUCCACAAAUUAUACCACACCCUGAAUGACCACUAUCUGGGUAAGGUCAAGGUCGUAUGCAGUACGAUUUCCCUUAAAAGGCAGGCUUGUUGAUUUUUGAUUCAGAGUUGCGACUGCAGAGCUCCACCGAUGAAACAUGAGAUGCAGAAAUAGCUAUCUAGAGAUGGUGGUCCAACUCUGAAUCAAAUAGAACCAAAAACUGCCUUUACCCCUUGUUCUUCUUUACUCAGAUUUUUGAGUACUCGAAACUGUCUUUCGGCAUUUUUCCUAGACGAAAAGAGAGUAGAUACGUGACCGUUGUCCUUUCUGCUUUCUUCAAUAUUUGUCGUCUCCGUGCUUAUAAUUUGUUAAAGCCGGAGAUUCAGGAUGUAACCAGAAAGCAGUUUCUUUUGACGAAAAGUCUUAGAUUGUUUAUUGUUUUAUUUUAAUUAUUUUUAAUUGUUUUAUUACAGUAAACUUUGUAUCUGGGUUUUUUCAUCUUCCUCGUUUUAAAGUAAAGUUAUUUGACAAGAUGACUGCUUUAACAAAUCGCAUACGCCAUCAAACAUUGUCAACCAUGUCAAACCAGUGCAGUGGCGUUGCGCGCUAAAUUCCUUUCACUUUAUCUCUGAUACUUCGCGUGUUUAAUAGUUGGCAAUCCUCAUUUGCGGCCAUUUUUUCACAGGCAACCUUAUAUAAUAGUAUUAGAAAAAAAUCUAAAAAAUUCCUAUUAUUUUUUUAAAGCUAUUUGCGGCCACUGUUUGAUUGACAACCCAUUAAAAAAUGUAUUCUCCUAUUCUUAAAUUUAUAUAAAAAUGUGAUUUUUGUUAACUAACUUAUGAAAGUAGUGAUUCUGCAGUGGGAUAUCAGACUAUCAGUUUUUUUUUUUCGAAGAAUAGUCGGCUUACCGAUUUGGUAAAUGCGCCAGAAAGGAGUCCGGUCAGAUAAAUACAAGAUACCUAGAGGUUAUUACAAUCAUUUCAUAUCAUUGCGCCAACUCUGAAUUUUGAUUAAUAACGGCGUAAAUUGUUAUUAAAGUUUAUGGAAAUCACAUUUUUGAAGUUCAUACAUAACACUCAUAUUCAUAAAUACUAUUAGUCUAGUCGCUAUUGAAAACAGCUUAACCCAGCGUGAGCUAAGCCGAUUAGAGGAACUAUGUCCUUUGAUGUACGUUGUCGAUUCACAAAAUCUCUUUUCUCUCUCUAACUCACGUCCAUACCCGUUUGAUUUUAGAUUUAUUUAUAUCAAUUUAUGUCGCUAUUAAUCAAAAUUCAGAGCUGGCGCAAUGAUAUGAAAUGAUUGUAAUUUCGAGAUGAAUCUAUUCAUGUAAAUGUUAUUGCAUUUGAGUGUGGAGUGUCCUAUAAAUUAAUAGUUGCUUUAUCAUAUAAAUUAAUGAAUUACAUCAGUAAAACAACCUCAGACUCUUGUUUUCUACCUGACCAAAUCUCGAAUUCUAAUUUUUUUUGCACAAAGAAGCAGUUGAAAGAGGUGCAACAUAGAAUAAUGGUUCAAAUGCCAGUUUUUUAUUAAUAUACUAAUAGAUCUAAAUGCUUUCGCUAUAAGCAUGAUUUUAUAUAUAUUAGUUUAUUCAAUUAGUUCGCACUUGAUUGUCGUGUGCCAUAUUACAAAAAAUUAAAUUACUAAUAAUUCGCCAGUACUGCUUCCAUUAGAGACCAUUUUUCACAAAAUAUAUAUCUGGAAGCAGGACCAAAAAGAAUGCUUUUUGUUUAUCUAUAUGAUGGAUACAAUACUCUUAGUAAAAGGUAUAUUUAUUUAAAAACCCUUAAAAGGACCACAAAUAUCACAGAACAUUAUCUGUCUCUAACAAUAGCAUCAUCAGUGUUCCCUAAAAUAAGUAUAACCGUAUUAGUGAAGACAAAGGUUAAAGUUAAACUGUCGACCAAAGUAAAAACAAAGUUUAGUUAUACUUACAAACUUAACAUGAUGAGCCACCCAGAAAUACAAAGGUUAAAACCCUUUAAAUGUCGACUUAAUGUCUUACAUAGUUAAAUCAAUGAUGUUUGUUGUUAUUGUUUUUUUACCAUAAACAACUUUUAAAUUUAGUGGCUAGUGUAACUUUCUAUCAUUUCACAAAACUUCAAGUUGCAUUGACAGUUUUCGUUCUGGUAUCGGACGGAAAUGCUCUCAAACUUUUACUUUAGUUGACAUUCACUGCUCUCGAUGUGAAGACUUAAUUAUAACCUAACAGCCCACGUACCUCGUGGGGGUCAUAUAGUGCCUCAGGGUCUUAUCCUUACCCAGAUAGUAUGUAAACUUGUGGCAAGUUUGAUUCUUCUUUGAUUUUAAAUUGCUGCGUCAAAUAUGACGAGGCAAGUUUGUGUCAAGUUUGCUGCAAUAUUGUUAUGACAAAGAUGAUGAUUCAAGUUUGUAGCAACUUUGCUACAAGCCUUCAGUUGCAAAGCCGUCAUCUAUUUGGUUGACUUACACGUUACAGUCGGUUCGGUUUCGUUCGUUACCCUGACUGAUGUCACGCCCACGAAAACGAAAGUGUUGCCACCGGAGAGAAUUUUCAACAUAAAAGGGAAAAAGUUAACUUAUAAGGGAAUCUUUGCUCCAGUCCAAAUUGUAAAAUAUUAAAAAAAAUCAAAAUAUUUGAAAAUAACUCAACAUAUUUUCACAGAUUUUUUAAAUAGGAGCAUAGGAGGGAAUUUUAUCAUAAAAGUGGGAAUUUUUAAGGUACGUUGAGGGAAAAGCUUACUCGACAGCUGACAACACGGGAAAAGUAAUCUUCCUGCCACCAAGCUAAGCGGUGAUAAUUUGUGGUUAUGUCCUAUGUCCUAUAGUCCUAUCCCUAUCCUACGUUGAUAUUUUUUUGAGUUGAGUUUUUACAACAUUUACCGUACAAUUCUCCGAGACUAUUACUUUAAUUACUAAGCUGAAGCUUGUUUUCUUCAGUUUUUCAUAGACCCACCUGCUUGUGGUGAUUAGGAUUAGGUACAGAUUGGUAUUCUUUUUGCUUUGGUGAAAUUGAGAGCUGAUAGACAAAACUGAGCAUCGGAAUCUGAAGCUAGCGGGUUUAAUGUAAGUUCCAAUAAAUAAUUUUAGACAAUAGAUUGUAUUUUAGUUGAGUGAUUACUGAAUAAAUAGUUAUAUAAAAUGGUA
rnacentral:lncRNA from 1 species